rnacentral:rRNA from 1 species
UACGUAGGGUGCGAGCGUUAAUCGGAAUUACUGGGCGUAAAGCGUGCGCAGGCGGUGAGCUGUGUCCGAUGUGAAAGCCCCGGGCUUAACCUGGGAAUGGCAUUGGAAACUGGCUCGCUGGAGUGUGGCAGAGGGGGGUGGAAUUCCGCGUGUAGCAGUGAAAUGCGUAGAUAUCAGGAGGAACACCGGUGGCGAAGGCGGGUCUCUGGGCCGAUACUGACGCUGAGGAGCGAAAGCGUGGGGAGCGAACAGG